rnacentral:rRNA from 1 species
UACGUAGGGGGCAAGCGUUAUCCGGAUUUACUGGGUGUAAAGGGAGUGUAGGCGGCUGUGCAAGUCAGAAGUGAAAACCCGGGGCUCAACUCCGGGACUGCUUUUGAAACUGCGUAGCUCGAGUACUGGAGAGGCAAGCGGAAUUCCUAGUGUAGCGGUGAAAUGCGUAGAUAUUAGGAAGAACACCGGUGGCGAAGGCGGCUUGCUGGACAGAGACUGACGCUGAGGCUCGAAAGCGUGGGGAGCAAAC